AACGAACGCUGGCGGCAUGCCUAACACAUGCAAGUCGAACGAGACCUUCGGGUCUAGUGGCGCACGGGUGCGUAACGCGUGGGAACCUGCCCUUAGGUUCGGAAUAACUCCCCGAAAGGGGUGCUAAUACCGGAUAAUGUCUUCGGACCAAAGAUUUAUCGCCUUUGGAUGGGCCCGCGUUGGAUUAGCUAGUUGGUAGGGUAAAAGCCUACCAAGGCGACGAUCCAUAGCUGGUCUGAGAGGAUGAUCAGCCACACUGGGACUGAGACACGGCCCAGACUCCUACGGGAGGCAGCAGUGGGGAAUAUUGGACAAUGGGCGAAAGCCUGAUCCAGCAAUGCCGCGUGAGUGAUGAAGGCCUUAGGGUUGUAAAGCUCUUUUACCCGGGAUGAUAAUGACAGUACCGGGAGACUAAGCUCCGGCUAACUCCGUG
rnacentral:rRNA from 1 species